rnacentral:lncRNA from 1 species
UUAGGGCACUCUUAAGUGGACGGUGCAAAAUAAUUAUACUCUAUCAAGGGAAAGCCAAUCUGCAUCAUAUUCUACUUUUAGUAGGUAAACAGGGUCCUCUAUUUCUUCUUUCAGCAUAUCCUUAUUAUAAUAUUAUCUUAAUGUUUGAGGGCCUCAUUUUAAUGCUUUUGAAGUAAUUAUAACCCAACUCUUUCCACAUGCAUUCCACUUGUCAGCAAACUUUAGCUCUUCACUAUUCCACUGGAAUGAUUUUAUCUUUUUUAUUUUUUGCUUUUCUCCACAUGGAGAGUGAAUAGAUUUCCUUCCUUUUUAUUAGCUAUUGAGAUGAGAAACCAUAAUUUUCACUUAGGUAUUCAAACCAUAAAGAAUCUAGUAAUUUUGACCUUAUAUACAGAAUCGUAUAAGUUUUCAACGAAUUCGUUUCCGAUACCUAGCUCCGCCCUAAGCAACAUAGACGGUGAAAAUUUAUAUAGCUAACCAAUUGAGGCAUAGUUACCGUUGUAUUUAUCUAAAAAAAAGACUUGAAGGGGAGCCUUGGCAUAAUGAUAAAAUUAUUGCUAUGUGAUCAGGAGGUCACAGUUCAAUCCGUGAAAACAGCCACUUACAGAGAUGCAGGGUAACCUACAUAUAAUAAAUAGACCUUUAUAAUUUGAUCCUUCCUCGAACCCCAUUGCAGUGCACCGCGCUACGCAUUUAGUUAUGUAAAUCUUUUGGAAGAGAGAAUAUAAAUAUCCUUAGUGGUGGAUAAGCAGGAUGGCCUAAUACAAAAAGAAUAUUUACUAGGAUGGGGGGACCAUAUAGAUUUGUCAUUUCUCUAUUUUGGUAGACCUUGUGUCCAGAUAAUAUAAUAUAAUAUAAUAUAGUGGACAAAUUCUUGGCUUCCAAGAUUGUUAUAUAAUAGAACUUGUAGAAGCAAGAGAAGCCAUCAACUUAACUUGGCCUAUUAGUUGUGAAGCACAAGAAGAUGUGGAGAAAGAAGAAAAAGAAGGAUUGUGAUGUACUAUUCGAGGAAAUGGCGAUUACUAGGUCACACCCUUUGGUGCAUCUGAUGUGAAUCGAUCGAUACCAAAGGGAUAAAAGGCAAGUCAUAGAGGCAAAGGGAAGGCAACGCCUUUCUUCCAGGAUUUUAAUUUCUUUCUUUUCCUCUUGUAUUUUCAUAUUACUAUCCAUCAUGGAUAAGUUGGGGUUCCCAAGUUUCACAUGUAAGUCUUUUAGCUUUGGGUUGAACUACUGUUCAGUUUGUUGCUUUAGUAUUAACUGUGUUGGAGUCAAUGCCUUCUUUUCAAGAAAUACAAUUCUGUUCCUACUUUUCUAUUUUAACCAAUGUGUUCUGCAGUCUAGUGGUGCUUGAAUAUCUACAUCCAAACAAUGAACGUUGCCGCCAAGGAUUUAAGUUAUAUACUCUGAUAGUGUAUAUAAAUUCUACACCUUUGGUGCAAUUUAACCGACUAUAGUCAACUCAAAAAAAUUGGUGGUCUAAAGCCAAAUCAGCAAAUAUAGGUUGAUUAUCAAAAGAAGACCUAUACAACCAAAAAUAUAAACCAAGUUUUUGUUACUUACUAUCAGUCGGUAACACAAGCGUUAAAUGUUAAGACAGAAACAUUAAGAAGUAAAUACACGAAGAAAUCAAAGGGAUUCAAUAUACAGUAUGCUGUGUAAUUUUCGAGCAAAGGAGUGUCGAUUGACUCCCCUUUGGACUAGGUAAGCUUUGCCCCUCGUUGUAUCAAUAGAGAUAUUGAUAAGAAUAACUUUACUGUAUUUGCCACCGAUCAUAAGAGAAUAGAUUAUUUUUAUUUACAGAUAACAGUAAUUAAUUAGCAAUCGCUUAUAGCAAGUUCUCCACAUAAUUUAAUUCAAACAAAUGUUAGAAUUUUUCAAUUCAUGUACCAACUUACCUCAGUGUAAUCCACUAGUGGGAUCUGGAAGGAUGGAGAGUAUGCACACUUACCGGAGAAAAGAAAAACUGGAGGAGGUUGGGUGUUCAAAAUGGACAAUACUGGCAAGAUCAAG